rnacentral:rRNA from 1 species
AUUGAACGCUAGCGGGAUGCCUUACACAUGCAAGUCGAACGGAGUGGCGAACGGGUGCGUAAUGUAUCGGAACGUGCCCAUUAGCGGGGGAUAACUAUGCGAAAGCGUAGCUAAUACCAAAUACUAUUGGCGCGGCCGAUAUCGGAUUAGCUAGUUGGUGGGGUAACGGCUAACCAAGGCGACGAUCCGUAGCUGGUUUGAGAGGACGACCAGCCACACUGGAACUGAGACACGGCCCAGACUCCUACGGGAGGCAGCAGUGGGGAAUAUUGCACAAGGGGGGAAACCCUGAGGCAGCCAUGCCGCGUGUACGAAGAAGGCCUUCGGGUUGUAAAGCACUUUUGGCAGGGAGGCGGUACCUGCAGAAGAAGCACCGGCUAACUACGUGCCAGCAGCCGCGGUAAUAC